GGAGAGAGCAUUUCUGUCGUCUAUACACAAAACUUUCCAUUUCACUUACAAGAUGGUGAAAAGAACGAACCUUGCUUAUUAUACACGGUUUUUAACGCUAUAACACUUCUUUACUUGGAUUUUACUCUCAAAAAACUAUGACUGUGUUGGUGAUAGAACCCUGGCAGGAAGAGGUGACGUUGCCUUGGAUAUUCAGAGUGAGGGAGACUGGCAGAAGACACAAGGUUCGGAGGCCUCCAGAGAGCUGCCCAGAGUGAAGCUUGUGGUAUAGAGGAACAGCUGCUGAUCAUCAAGCUUACGGAAUGACUGGAGGAAAGUGGGAGGAGCCUGGAGGGAGUGGUGGAGAUACCAGGAUAUGUGACCACCACCACCACCCCCACCACCACCACCACCCCCACCACCACCACCACCACCACCACUACCACCACCACCAUUGGAGAUGCCCCUCUGUAGUUGCACAUUACGGCCCUGUUGUGUACCCUGGUGGCCUUCAUAGUUGACCGCUGAGUGCAGCUGUCGGUGACUGCAGGAAUGGACCUCAGAUGGCGGACACAACAGCAUUACCAAGUCAAGAAGUUGUCCAGUAUUUUAUCUCUGCUCUCGAACAAGCAAUGACCAGUGGUGGUGUUGUUCAUGUCUGGCUUGUGUGUGUGUGUGUGUGUGUGUGUGUGUGUGUGUGUGUGUGUGUGUGUGUGUGUGUGUGUGUGUGUGUGUGUGUGUGUGUGAGUUUGUUCAUCCAUUAUGAUUUGAAGAGAUUGUGUUUGUAUUUUUAUUGUGGGACUCUGUGAUUAUACUUUGAAAUGA